rnacentral:tRNA from 1 species
GGGGUAAUAGCUCAGUGGUAGAGUACAUGCUUAGAAUGUGUGAAGUCCUGGGUUCAAUCCCCAGUAACUCCC